AUCCGACGCACAAAGUCAGUACAAAUCUCACGGUCCUCUUCAUGUGCUGACACCUGCAACUUCCUUAGUGUGUGUGUGUGUGUGUGUGAGAGUGGGGUCUCACCCUGCGAGCCAGCAGCAGCCCGGUGCAGUAGGCAGCAGCAUAGUUAGUAAGGCCUACAGUGAUGCCAUAUUUGGGAAGCUCGUGAGAGUAAGAAGCACACACAAUUUGGUCUCCUUCAAU